GUGCCAGCCGCCGCGGUAAUACGUAGGGGGCGAGCGUUGUCCGGAAUUACUGGGCGUAAAGGGUGCGUAGGCGGCUUAGUAAGUCAGGUGUGAAAGGCAUGGGCUCAACCCAUGUAAGCACUUGAAACUGCUUAGCUUGAGUUAAGGAGAGGGAAGCGGAAUUCCUGGUGUAGCGGUGAAAUGCGUAGAUAUCAGGAGGAACACCAGUGGCGAAGGCGGCUUCCUGGCCUUGGACUGACGCUGAGGCACGAAAGCGUGGGGAGCAAACAGGAUUAGAUACCCUGGUAGUCCACGCCGUAAACGAUGAGUGCUAGGUGUCGGGGGUGUAAGCCUUCGGUGCCGCAGUUAACACAUUAAGCACUCCGCCUGGGGAGUACGUGCGCAAGCAUGAAACUCAAAUGAAUUGACGG
rnacentral:rRNA from 1 species